UAUCUUUUAUUUGUGUGAUUC
rnacentral:piRNA from 1 species